AGCGAACGCUGGCGGCAGGCCUAACACAUGCAAGUCGAACGAACUCUUCGGAGUUAGUGGCGGACGGGUGAGUAACACGUGGGAACGUGCCUUUAGGUUCGGAAUAACUCAGGGAAACUUGUGCUAAUACCGAAUGUGCCCUUCGGGGGAAAGAUUUAUCGCCUUUAGAGCGGCCCGCGUCUGAUUAGCUAGUUGGUGAGGUAAUGGCUUACCAAGGCAACGAUCAAUAGCUGUUCUUAGAGGAAGACCAGCCACAUUGGGACUGAGACACGGCCCAAACUCC
rnacentral:rRNA from 1 species